CGGCGGACGGGUGAGUAAUGCCUAGGAAUCUGCCUGGUAGUGGGGGACGAACGUUUCGAAAGGAACGCUAAUACCGCAUACGUCCUACGGGAGAAAGCAGGGGACCUUCGGGCCUUGCGCUAUCAGAUGAGCCUAGGUCGGAUUAGCUAGUUGGUGAGGUAAUGGCUCACCAAGGCGACGAUCCGUAACUGGUCUGAGAGGAUGAUCAGUCACACUGGAACUGAGACACGGUCCAGACUCCUACGGGAGGCAGCAGU
rnacentral:rRNA from 1 species